rnacentral:rRNA from 1 species
GAUGAACGCUGGCGGCGUGCCUAAUACAUGCAAGUCGAGCGAACAGACGAGGAGCUUGCUCCUCUGCCGUUAGCGGCGGACGGGUGAGUAACACGUGGAUAACCUACCUAUAAGACUGGGAUAACUUCGGGAAACCGGAGCUAAUACCGGAUAAUAUAUUGAACCGCAUGGUUCAAUAGUGAAAGACGGUUUUGCUGUCACUUAUAGAUGGAUCCGCGCCGCAUUAGCUAGUUGGUAAGGUAACGGCUUACCAAGGCGACGAUGCGUAGCCGACCUGAGAGGGUGAUCAGCCACACUGGAACUGAGACACGGUCCAGACUCCUACGGGAGGCAGCAGUAGGGAAUCUUCCGCAAUGGGCGAAAGCCUGACGGAGCAACGCCGCGUGAGUGAUGAAGGUCUUCGGAUCGUAAAGCUCUGUUAUUAGGGAAGAACAAAUGUGUAAGUAACUAUGCACGUCUUGACGGUACCUAAUCAGAAAGCCACGGCUAACUACGUG